AGUGAACGCUGGCGGUAGGCCUAACACAUGCAAGUCGAACGGCAGCACAGUAAGAGCUUGCUCUUACGGGUGGCGAGUGGCGGACGGGUGAGGAAUACAUCGGAAUCUACUUUUUCGUGGGGGAUAACGUAGGGAAACUUACGCUAAUACCGCAUACGACCUACGGGUGAAAGCAGGGGAUCUUCGGACCUUGCGCGAUUGAAUGAGCCGAUGUCGGAUUAGCUAGUUGGCGGGGUAAAGGCCCACCAAGGCGACGAUCCGUAGCUGGUCUGAGAGGAUGAGCAGCCACACUGGAACUGAGACAAGGUACAGACUCCUACGGGAGGCAGCAGUGGGGAAUAGUGGACAAUGGGCGCAAGACUGAUCCAGCCAUACCGCGUGGGUGAAGACGGCCUUCGGGUCGUAAAGACCUUUUGUUGGGAAAGAAAAGCAGCAGGUUAAUACCCCGCUGUUCUGACGGUACCCAAAGAAUAAGCACCGGCUAACUUCGUG
rnacentral:rRNA from 1 species